AUUCGGAGGGGGCUAGCGUUGUUCGGAAUUACUGGGCGUAAAGCGCGCGUAGGCGGCUUUUCGUGUUGGGCGUGAAAGCCCGGGGCUCAACCCCGGAAUUGCGCUCAAAACUGGAAGGCUAGAGACCGGGAGAGGAGAGUGGAAUUCCCAGUGUAGAGGUGAAAUUCGUAGAUAUUGGGAAGAACACCAGUGGCGAAGGCGGCUCUCUGGUCCGGUACUGACGCUGAGGUGCGAAAGCGUGGGGAGCAAACAGGAUUAGAUACCCCAGUAGUCC
rnacentral:rRNA from 1 species